UGCCCCAUGGCUGAGUUGGUUACAGCGUCCGACUGUUAUUGAGACGUGUGUAUGAUGACAUCGGAAGGUCGAGAGUUCGAGCCUCUCUGGGGCAG